rnacentral:rRNA from 1 species
UAAUAGUGUAUAUUAAAGUUGUUGCAGUUAAAAAGCUCGUAGUUGAAUGUUGGUGUCGAACGAGCGGUCAGCUUCGGCUGUACUGCUCUCUCGACUCCUUCCUUCUGUGGACUACGUCGCACUUUACUGUGUGGCGCUAGGACGCAGAUCGUUUACUGUGAAAAAUUAGAGUGUUCAAAGCAGGCCGUACGCUUGAAUACAUUAGCAUGGAAUAAUGGAAUAGGACGUCGGGCCUAUUUUGUUGGUUCUAGGACCGUCGUAAUGAUUAAUAGGGACAGUUGGGGCCGUUUAUAUUCCGUAGUCAGAGGUGAAAUUCUUGGAUUUACGGAAGAUAAACUACUGCGAAAGCAUUCGGCAAGGAUGUUUUCGUUAA